ACCCAGCUGGCUCAGUUGGUAGAGAAUGGGCCUCUUGAUCUCAGAACCAUGGGUUUGAGCCCCACGCUGGGUG